CUUUUGACAUGCGUUGUUCAUUUCUGUCUUGAUGAUUGUUUUGACUUCAGGUUUACUAAGUGGAAUGUUGAUCUGUAUUUCUCAGGAACAGAAUCAACUU